UUAUUAUUAUUAUUAUUAUUAUUUUUAUUUUUUUAAAAAGUUUCUUGGAUCUAAUUCUGAUUGACAUGAUGAAAUGCAAUAUGAAAUGCUAAAUGAAUGCAUGAAUGAGGAGGGCAAAUUUUGGGGUGUUACACUUUACUGGGCAGAAGCAAAGUAUAUUGUUACUAUAAGUAGUUACCAUCAACCAUUGUGGGGUAACCAAAUGCUCAAAGGUUACACAGGAUGCCAUGACAUUAUUCUGUGACAAUAAGCUAUUGUGCUUAAAGUUUCAAAAAGACCACAUUUUUAUAUUUUUUCU
rnacentral:lncRNA from 1 species